UACGGAGGGUGCAAGCAUUAAUCGGAAUUACUGGGCGUAAAGCGUGCGUAGGCGGUUCGCUGUGUCCGAUGUGAAAGCCCCGGGCUUAACCUGGGAAUGGCAUUGGAAACUGGCGGGCUUGAGUGCGGCAGAGGGGGGUGGAAUUCCGCGUGUAGCAGUGAAAUGCGUAGAGAUGCGGAGGAACACCGAUGGCGAAGGCAGCCCCCUGGGUCGACACUGACGCUCAGGCACGAAAGCGUGGGGAGCAAACAGG
rnacentral:rRNA from 1 species